CCGCUCUUACGAGAGCUACAUUGUGGGGUGAGCGGUAUAGAAUAAGGUUCAUUGUGGGGUGAUUUUGUAUUAUGGGGUGCAUCCCAUAAUGACAUCAUCUUAAACGGGUGCAAAUGUACAUUGUGGGUUGUUUCUUUAAUUUUCUGAGUUGCACCCCAGAAGAAAAUGGACAUAUCUGUCCCUCUUUGGACAGUUACGGACACAAUUCGUGUUUAAGAAUGAUUGCAAUCUAUUAAUAGCGGCCACCCAAUGGAAUGACGUCAUUCGGUAGCAUUCGUUAUUGUUCGGCAAAAACGGAGUUAAGCGCAUGCGCAGUCAAGUGACCUGGCCACGCCGUCGCCAUAUUGGUAGUCCUGAAGCGGAUCUAGACAGCGUUUUCACAACAACUGACACCAUGUCCAAAAGGCAGCCAGAAAGUAGCUCUGCAUGGUAGGAGUCCAUUAAAGAUGUGCCUGAUGAAACCAUUGGAAAUGUCAACAAUGGUAGCAUGGAUGGAAGUGACAGUGAUGUACCUUAAGAAAACAUUUGAAGUGACAAUGAUUGUAAGGUGGAUGAAAGUGACAAUGAUGUGCCUAUAGAAACCACUGCAAGUGACAACAAUGAUAACAUGGAUGAAAGUGACAAUGAUGGGCCUGAAGAAACCAUUUUAAGUGACAACGAGUGUAACAUGGAUGAAAGUGACAGUGACAGGCCUGAGGAAAAUAUUAUAAGUGAUAAUAAGGGACAACAAUAAUAACAUGGAUGAAAGUGGCAAUGAUGUGCCUGAGGAAAAUAUUGUAAGUGAUAUAACAGUUGUAACGUGGAUGGAAGUGAUACUAAUAUUUCUGAAAAAAAACCCUCAGGGAUUGGCUGUAAUGAAUGAACAGGAUGAUUUUUUGGGAGAAAUAAAUGGUGAAUAAAGAUAUUUUGGAUUUGACUUCACUUUUACUGAGAAUGACAAUAAUUCGUUUUCAAAAACAGAAAUUUGCAGCUUUUGUCUAUAUAGAUUUUGUCAUCUUUUUUGUAGACGAUUGUGAUUUUUUUCAAUUUGGUUUGAAAAUUUGAUUAAUAAAAAUAAAUGUUGUUUUUUUUUCAGAUUGUUUGGUAUUCAUAAUGUUGACAAACCCAAGUUAUAGUCUCAAGCUCCAUUUUAGUGAUCUGCUUUGUGUCCGGCAUCUGCCAACAAUACCUUCUUUUAACAUUUACUCCAGAACCGCUUGAACUUCAUUACCGGUAGUAGUAACUAAUCUGUUUUGCCCCCUUGAACAAUGUUUUGCUCAUGUCGGUCAGUAGGCCAUUUGGUUUCCGCUCAAUAACAAGAGAUUACUUAGACAUGCUGUGGUCAAACUUAAUAGGAUGACUACCUUUGGUCAGUAGGUAACCCCUUAUUGUUUUGGGGGUCAGUAGGUCAAAGAUCCAGGUCACAGUGACCUCAACACUGAAAACCAUUCCCACUUAAUUACAAGAGAACGCUUGAACCUGCAGUGGUCAACUGCCUAUGGCCAGUAGAUGAACCUAUAGUUUUUGGGGUCAGUAGGUAAAGUGUCUAGGUCACUGAGACCGCAGCACUAAAAAUGUUUGCAUUUUAGUUUUAUGAGCUGUAUCAAACUUUAAGCAAUUUAUGAAAUGUCUCUGUGUAAUGAGAGUAUAAUGGGCUCAACCCGUAAAACAACUGGCAUGGACAUCCUCAUGAGCUACAUCAAACUUUAUAAAAUUAAAUGUCAUGACAAUGAUAUGGGCUGCAACCAAUAAAACAGUUGACAUUGACACCCUUAUGGGCUGCAUCAGACUUUUAGAAAUGA